AGCGUUCUGCUUUCCUGGUGUG
rnacentral:miRNA from 1 species